rnacentral:rRNA from 1 species
AGGAGAGUUUGAUCCUGGCUCAGAACGAACGCUGGUAGCGUGGAUUAGGCAUGCAAGUCGAACGGGAUCGGCCGGUUAGCAAUAAUCGGCCGUGAGAGUGGCGGAUUGGGGAGGAACACGUGAGCAACCUGCCCUUGAGUUGGGGAAAACCGUUGGAAACGACGGCUAAUACCGGAUGUGGCGCCCGAAGACAUCUUCGGAGCGCUAAAGGGGGCCCAAAAGGCUCUCGCUCGAGGAGGGGCUCGCGCACCAUCAGCUUGUUGGCGGGGUAACGGCCCACCAAGGCCUACGGUUAGCUGGUCUGAGAGGAUGACCAGCCCCACUGGGACUGAGAUACUGCCCAGACUCCUACGGGAGGCUGCAGUCGAGGAUCAUUUGCAAUGGGCGAAAGCCUGACAAUGCGACGCUGCGUGGAGGAUGAAGGCCUUCGGGUUGUAAACUCCUGUCAUGGGGGAACAGGCGAGGGGACCCAAUACGUCCCUUAGUUGAGUGUACCCCAAGAGGAAGGGACGGCUAACUCUGUGCCAGCAGCCGCGGUAAUACAGAGGUCCCUAGCGUUGUUCGGAUUUACUGGGCGUAAAGGGCGCGUAGGCGGCAAGGCGUGUCGGAUGUGAAAUCUCCGGGCUCAACCCGGAAAGUGCGUCCGAAACUACCUUGCUCGAGUAUGGGAGAGGGAAUCGGAAUAUAGGGUGUAGCGGUGAAAUGCGUUGAUAUCCUAUAGAACACCGGAGGCGAAGGCGGAUUCCUUGAACAUCACUGACGCUGAGGCGCGAAAGUCGGGGGAGCAAACAGGAUUAGAUACCCUGGUAGUCCCCU